UCGAAUAUGAUGUUGACAAUUUGUGGAAAACCAUUUGGCUUUAAAACAGCCUUGAGGCAAAAGGAGGAGUCAUUGGCCAGUUUGCUCACUGAGUUCAAGUCUGCUCUUUGAAGGAGUCCAGAAGGGAAAAAUCCUGACCAUGAUGAGAAGCAAAGGAUAAAACAAAUUUUCCUGCAACCCAUUAUAAAUGAUCAUUCUCCAUGGAGACUACAGAGCCAAAGCCUUUUGUUACAAGAAGAUCCAACAUGGCUCAUUUUCCAUCAUAAUCCUCACAGCAUAUUGCCUUGGACACUCUGCCUCACCAAAAAGCUCA